rnacentral:rRNA from 1 species
UACGUAGGGUGCAAGCGUUGUCCGGAAUUAUUGGGCGUAAAGAGCUCGUAGGCGGUUUGUCGCGUCGAAUGUGAAAACCCGGGGCUCAACCCCGGGCCUGCAUUCGAUACGGGCAGACUAGAGUUCGGUAGGGGAGUCUGGAAUUCCUGGUGUAGCGGUGAAAUGCGCAGAUAUCAGGAGGAACACCAAUGGCGAAGGCAGAUCUCUGGGCCGUAACUGACGCUGAGGAGCGAAAGCAUGGGGAGCGAACAGG